AUUCAGCUGACGAGUCUCAAACAGGACGAAACGCGCGUCCUGGAU
rfam:Schistosoma rodhaini strain Burundi genome assembly, scaffold: SROB_scaffold0002152